CUUGAUGAUGCAAAAAAUUUACUCUAAAUCCAGGUCAGACGGUGGGGGUGGUAAUUUAGUAUGCAAAUUUAUUCAAAGAAUAUAGGAAAUGAGAAUACAACUCAUAACUUACAAACAGAUUUAUAAGUAUUAAAAUCAGCUUAAAAUAUAGAAAAUACAAAUCCCAAUAUUAAUAUAGUUUUAAAAGCAAUCCAUAUAUGAUGGGUGUUGCCCAAUUAAGAGUAAUACAAAAUGCAUUAUAAUAUUCUAAAGUAAUCAAGAUGUUAAAAAUAAUAAUACAAAGUAUACAACAAUACCUGUAUAUCCAAAGUCAAAAGUUAUACUAAUAUUCAUAUAAUAACAAAUAAUAUAAUAAUAAUCAUA